CUGAAAACAAAUGAAGAGUUCGUCCUCUGAUUGUGUUUCUACAGUUUGUUUUCAAAAGAUCAGAAGAGCUGUGGAAGACCUGUUUUGCCCUGGUGUAUACUUUUAGAAGUUACAUUGCUAGACUUUUAAUUCAGGAAUAUUUCAAUUUACAAUUUGGAAACUGGGGGAUGUGAGCUACUUGAAGACUUUCCAGGUCAGCAGGAGCAUGGCCACUGCUUCUCUCUCUGUAAGGGCCUACCUGAUUAGAUGAGGCCCACCCACAAUGAUCUGUCUUUUGUUGAACUCCAAGUCAACUGAUUUUCAACCCGAUCAUGAGGACAUACCUGCUCAUUCUGCAGUCAAUGCCUACAACUAAGGAAAGAGAUUAUAUAAGGCUGCAGUAAGUAGGCUGAAGGACAACAGCCUGAAGCGUCAUAGAGGCCUUCUCACUUGGCCAAGGCACACUUUUACUCUCUUGAAAGGGCCUUUGUAUGGCUGAGUAUGCUCACUUUUUCAUCUUCCUGAGGUUUAUUUGUUCAUCAGUUGAUGGGCUUCAGGAUGUUUCUA